rnacentral:rRNA from 1 species
UACGUAGGGGGCGAGCGUUGUCCGGAAUUAUUGGGCGUAAAGAGCGUGUAGGCGGCUCAGUAAGUCGGGUGUGAAACCCCCAGGCUCAACCUGGGGACGCCACCCGAUACUGCUGUGGCUAGAGUCCAGUAGAGGAGUGUGGAAUUCCCGGUGUAGCGGUGAAAUGCGCAGAUAUCGGGAGGAACACCAACGGCGAAGGCAGCACUCUGGGCUGGAACUGACGCUGAGGAGCGAAAGCGUGGGUAGCAAACAGG